rnacentral:rRNA from 1 species
CCAAUAGCGUAUAUUAAAGUUGUUGCAGUUAAAAAGCUCGUAGUUGAAUUUCGGGAUCAGUUCGCUGGUCGUGCCUCUGGUAUGUACUGGUGUUACUGGUUCCUCCCUUCUGAAGGACUGUCAUGUCAUUAAUUUGGUGUGGCGGGGAAUCAGGACUGUUACUUUGAAAAAAUUAGAGUGUUUAAAGCAGGCUCGCGCUUGAAUACAUUAGCAUGGAAUAAUGAAAUAGGACGUUUGAUCCUAUUUUGUUGGUUUCUAGGAUUGACGUAAUGAUUAAUAGGGAUAGUUGGGGGCAUUAGUAUUCAAUUGUCAGAGGUGAAAUUCUUGGAUUUAUUGAAGACUAACUACUGCGAAAGCAUUUGCCAAGGAUGUUUUCAUUAAUCAAGAACGAAAGUUAGGGGAUCGAAGACGAUCAGAUACCGUCGUAGUCUUAACCAUAAACUAUGCCGACUAGGGAUCGGAUGAUGUUAAUUUUUUAAUGACUCAUUCGGCGCCUUACG